rnacentral:rRNA from 1 species
UACAGAGGGUGCGAGCGUUAAUCGGAAUUACUGGGCGUAAAGAGCGCGCAGGCGGUCGUUUCAAGUCGAGUGUGAAAGCCCCCGGCUCAACUGGGGAGGGUCAUUCGAUACUGAUCGACUCGAAGGCAGGAGAGGGUAGUGGAAUUCCCGGUGUAGUGGUGAAAUGCGUAGAUAUCGGGAGGAACACCAGUGGCGAAGGCGACUACCUGGCCUGUUCUUGACGCUGAGGCGCGAAAGCUAGGGGAGCAAACGGGG